GCCGGGCGUGGUAGCUCACGCCUGUAAUCCCAGCACUUUGGGAGGCCGAGAUGGGUGGAUCACUUGAGGUCAGGAGUUUGAGACCAGCCUGGCCAACAUGGUGAAACCCCAUCUCUA
rnacentral:SRP_RNA from 1 species